CCUCAAGCAUACAGAGCCCACCUGGAGAAGUGCAGGCAUGCUCAGACCCUGCUGGCACAUCCUGAGAGGUGAAAUGGGCCCAAGCUCUUGCCCGAUGGACGGCUCUCCAAGCAUGUCCUACCGGGACCCUUCUAACCAGUGAAUUGUUCACCUCCCAGUGAUUCUUCCCGACUAAGGCCAAGAGAUUUCUGGAGCCUCUUGUCAUGGUCACUAUGUGGAGCUGCCAAGGUUCCCUGAUGGUGACCAGUGGCAAUGGCGGAGUGUGGAGGUGAAGUUACAGAUUUUCCUUAACAGAGCUGUGGAGUGUGACAAUGGUGUUUGUGUCCAAACUAUCAAACGCCAUUAUCACACUAAAUAGCUACUGUUAGGCAAUCCUUCUGCUCAAUAAAUGCCUUGGCAUCUGUGUGGUUUGGGCAAGAAUGUUCCUCUUACAGCAGUGUUCCCGGUCCUGUGUAAUUACUGAAUAAAUGCAGGCCCGUUGGUGCUCAUAACCAACAUGUCAUCUGAACUUGGCCUCUCACACACUGUUGUUAAAUACUUUAGCUGGUGAUGAAUUUUCUUGUUUUCCUGAGUCAAUAAAAAAUCUGGCC